GCUUAACACAUGCAAGUCGAGGGGCAGCAUAAUUUGUAGCAAUACAGAUUGAUGGCGACCGGCGCACGGGUGAGUAACGCGUAUGCAACUUACCUAUCAGAGGGGGAUAGCCCGGCGAAAGUCGGAUUAAUACCCCAUAAAACAGGGGUCCCGCAUGGGAAUAUUUGUUAAAGAUUCAUCGCUGAUAGAUAGGCAUGCGUUCCAUUAGGCAGUUGGCGGGGUAACGGCCCACCAAACCGACGAUGGAUAGGGGUUCUGAGAGGAAGGUCCCCCACAUUGGUACUGAGACACGGACCAAACUCCUACGGGAGGCAGCAGUGAGGAAUAUUGGUCAAUGGCCGAGAGGCUGAACCAGCCAAGUCGCGUGAAGGAAGAAGGAUCUAUGGUUUGUAAACUUCUUUUAUAGGGGAAUAAAGUGGAGGACGUGUCCUUUUUUGUAUGUACCCUAUGAAUAAGCAUCGGCUAACUCCGUGCCAGCAGCCGCGGUAAUACGGAGGAUGCGAGCGUUAUCCGGAUUUAUUGGGUUUAAAGGGUGCGUAGGUGGUGAUUUAAGUCAGCGGUGAAAGUUUGUGGCUCAACCAUAAAAUUGCCGUUGAAACUGGGUUACUUGAGUGUGUUUGAGGUAGGCGGAAUGCGUGGUGUAGCGGUGAAAUGCAUAGAUAUCACGCAGAACUCCGAUUGCGAAGGCAGCUUACUAAACCAUAACUGACACUGAAGCACGGAAGCGUGGGGAUCAAACAGGAUUAGAUACCCUGGUAGUCCACGCAGUAAACGAUGAUUCCUAGGAGUUUGCGAUACAA
rnacentral:rRNA from 1 species